AAGCAUCAUCAGAAACCGACCAUACUGGCUUCCUGAUCUCAGACUUUCAGCCUCCAGAAUGGAUAUAUUUGGCAUUAAACUCGGGACAAAAGAAGACACAAACUUUAUCUUGUGGUUUGGGUCCUCCAAUCCUCAUAAAAGUGUGGUUUCACCUGUUACCUCAUAAAGGUGCCAUUGCUGUAUGCACAUCUGAAUCUGUUUACAAUUUGAGAAUAGAGGACCUGAUGAUUGAUUUAGCAUCUUUGGCAUCCGGCCACUGCUCUGCUUGGCCAUACUGCUGCCUUCACCCUCAGCUGUUGCAACUCUUUUGGCCACUUUGUGUAACUGCCCUGCCAAGCCCUGCUUCCUGGCUGUCCAAAGAAAGAAGUGUUUCCUACAGGAGAUCACAACAAAAGGAUGAAAUCUGGGGUGCAGGGGAAGGGUAGCUUCUGAAGCUGGAAAAUAAAGAAGUAAGGAAGGGAGACUGUGGAAUUUACCAGGGAGGGAAACUAAUAUUUCCUUUCAUAUAAGUUGGUACUAUUCUGGCUUUUUACCAUGAU
rnacentral:lncRNA from 10 species